CCCUUAGAUGUUCUGGGCCGCACGCGCGCUACAAUGAUGAAUUCAACGAGUUUAUAACCUUGGUUGAAAAGCCUGGGUAAUCUUUUGAACUUUCGUCGUGAUGGGGCUAGACCCUUGCAAUUAUUGGUCUCCAACGAGGAAUUCCUAGUAAACGCAAGUCAUCAGCUUGCAUUGAUUACGUCCCUGCCCUUUGUACACACCGCCCGUCACACCUACCGAUUGAAUGGUCCGGUGAAAUCUUCGGAUUGAGACUUUGAUUUCUUCACGGAAAACGCUGUUUUAAAAAGUUGAUUAAACCUUACCAUUUAGAGGAAGGUGAAGUCGUAACA
rnacentral:rRNA from 1 species